rnacentral:lncRNA from 1 species
UUUUUUGCGUUUGAGUCAUUUUAUGUGUUUUGUCUUAUUACUGUAACGAACGUGCUUCAGACCUUUCCUUAUAUUAAUUUUAAGAUGCAUUUUAAUAUAUGACAGUAACAAUUUUUAUUUUAAUGUCAAUGUUAUUUAUUUGUGAAAUCUUUUAACUUUCUUAUACUCCUGAAGAAGCCAUCAAAAAAAUGUGCGAAAUAUUGAGUUUUUAGAAAAAAUAAAGAUUUUUUAUUAUAGACCACA